GAGUUUGAUCAUGGCUCAGAUUGAACGCUGGCGGAAUGCUUUACACAUGCAAGUCGAGCGGCAGCGCGGGGGCAACCCUGGCGGCGAGCGGCGAACGGGUGAGUAAUGUAUCGGAACGUACCCUGUCGUGGGGGAUAACACAGCGAAAGUUGUGCUAAUACCGCAUACGACCUGAGGGUGAAAGCGGGGGAUCGCAAGACCUCGCGCGAUAGGAGCGGCCGAUAUCGGAUUAGCUAGUUGGUGAGGUAAAGGCUCACCAAGGCGACGAUCCGUAGCGGGUCUGAGAGGACGACCCGCCACACUGGAACUGAGACACGGUCCAGACUCCUACGGGAGGCAGCAGUGGGGAAUUUUGGACAAUGGGGGAAACCCUGAUCCAGCCAUUCCGCGUGAGUGAAGAAGGCCUUCGGGUUGUAAAGCUCUUUCAGCAGGAACGAAACGGUAAGCUCUAAUAAAGUUUGCUAAUGACGGUACCUGAAGAAGAAGCACCGGCUAACUACGCGCCAGCAGCCGCGGUAAUACGUAGGGUGCGAGCGUUAAUCGGAAUUACCGGGCGUAAAGCGUGCGCAGGCGGUUUUGUAAGACAGAUGUGAAAUCCCCGGGCUUAACCUGGGAACUGCGUUUGUGACUGCAAGACUAGAGUGUGGCAGAAGGGGGGUGGAAAUCCACGUGUAGCAGUGAAAUGCGU
rnacentral:rRNA from 1 species